rnacentral:tRNA from 1 species
UGGGUCGAUGCCCGAGUGGUUAAAGGGGGCGGAUUGUAAAUCCGCUGUGUAAUGCUACGUUGGUUCAAAUCCAACUCGGCCCA